CUGCGGCUAACUACGUGCCAGCAGCCGCGGUAAUUCCAGCUCCAAUAGCGUAUAUUAAAGUUGUUGCGGUUAAAAAGCUCGUAGUUGGAUCUCGGUUUCACUCAGGCGGUACACCUUGCGGUGUUCACUGUCUGGGCGGACGUUUCUGUUGGUUCGCUGUUGGUUCUCUUAAUCGAGUGCCAAUUGGUGGCCAGCACGUUUACUUUGAAAAAAUUGGAGUGCUCAAAGCAGGCGUUACAGCCUGAACAUUAGUGCAUGGAAUAAUGGAAUAGGAUCUCGAUUCUAUUUCGUUGGCUUUCGGAGUCGAGGUAAUGAUUAAUAGGGACAGACGGGGGCAUUCGUACUGCGACGUUAGAGGUGAAAUUCUUGGAUCGUCGCAAGACGAACUACUGCGAAAGCAUUUGCCAAGAAUGUUUUCAUUAAUCAAGAACGAAAGUUAGAGGUUCGAAGGCGAUCAGAUACCGCCCUAGUUCUAACCAUAAACGAUGCCAACCGGCGAUCCGUCGUCGUUAAUUGAAUGACUCGACGGGCAGCCUCCGGGAAACCAGAGUGUUUGGGUUCCGGGGGAAGUAUGGUUGCAAAGCUGAAACUUAAAGGAAUUGACGGAAGGGCACCACCAGCAGUGGAGCCUGCGGCUUAAUUUGACCCAACACGGGAAAUCUCACCAGGCCCGGACACCGGAAGGAUUGACAGAUUGAGAGCUCUUUCUUGAUUCGGUGGGUGGUGGUGCAUGGCCGUUCUUAGUUGGUGGAGCGAUUUGUCUGGUUAAUUCCGAUAACGAACGAGACUCUGGCCUACUAACUAGAAGGGUCGUUCUUUACGAGCGGCCCUCUGCUUCUUAGAGGGACGGGCGGCGUUUAGCCGCACGAGAAUGAGCAAUAACAGGUCUGUGAUGCCCUUAGAUGUUCUGGGCUGCACGCGCGCUACACUGAAGGAAUCAGCAUGUUCUCCCCUCCCUGAAAAGGGCGGGUAACCCGUUGAAACUCCUUCGUGAUGGGGAUUGGAGAUUGUAAUUAUUCUCCAUGAACGAGGAAUUCCCAGUAGGCGCGAGUCAUCAGCUUGCGUCGAUUACGUCCCUGCCCUUUGUACACACCGCCCGUCGCUACUACCGAUCGAGUGAUUUAGUGAGGACUUCGGACUGGUCUCCAAGUUGGCUUCGGUCAGCUCGGAGUUCCGGAAAGAUGCCCAAACUUGAUCACUUAGAGGAAGUAAAAGUCGUA
rnacentral:rRNA from 1 species